AAGCCCAUAGAAUAGAGAACAAUGUUUACGCAAGGCCCAUCUGGCUAGCCCAAGGUCCCAAUCCAGAUACACACACGGAGACACCUCACGUCGUCAUCUCACGGUUCACAGGAAACCUAGCCCCCACCCGCCGCUUCGCUCAACUCCUGCUCUCUCCCACAAUGAACCCUAGCCGCCAUCCGCCGCUGUGGCCCGAUUCUCCCUUGCCGAUGAAGUUCGGCGCACCGAGGCUAGCCGCGCUCCGCUGACCGACGAAGACCAGCGUCCCCAGCCAUGGCCUGGACCAGUGACGACCAGUCAAACCCCAUCCAAGAUGCGCACCGCCAUGCCCCAUGCGUCACGCCGCCAACCCAAACCCUCUGCGUCGCUCCACUGCUCGUGACGCGUCCAUCCGUCGGUGUUGCUCCUCCUUCUUAGUCUCUGCCCAUCUUAGUCGUGGUCCUUCCAUCAACUCUGGCGGUGCUCAAGGUGUGUUUUCUUUCCCCUUUUUCCUUGAUAUCUCCCUCUGUUGAUCUCAGAUGUGAAUGGUUUUGGUUUGUAAGUUGCUACUUGCUAGAUACUGGAUAUACAUGUGAGAUCAGAAUGAUUGUAUUUGUCAGAUGUGCAUGACAGAUUGUAAUGAUUUUAUUUUAGGUGGAUGAAUCUUUGACUAUGCAGUGACAAAUCAUAGCCACUCGAACGUGAAAAAAUAUUUUGAAUGUGAUAUUGAAUUUUUAUUGGCCGCAUAUCAUAGGAGUCGUAGUCACUGUCCCCUUCCGGUGCUCCACCUCGAAGCUGAAGGUGAGCAAGCUACUUCAUCUCUCUAUGUACAUAUAUUCAUUUAUGUGCAUCAAUUAUAUUGUUCAUGUUUUGUGAUGUCUAGAUUUUCUGAUGUUCAAACUCAUGUAGAUGUAGUGGCUUGCUUGUAGGUGCUGCUAUUGGAACAAUCAUAGUUUUUUGUUGGUUUUUAUCUCCAUGGCAGAGUGUACCAUGCUAUUUUCAAUAUAUUAACUUGGAAUGGUUGCUGUGUAGAGAGGGUACAGACACACCAAUGUCAUUUCUUAGCUCUCAAUAAGAAGAUUUUCUAAAAUGUUUGCCAGAUUUGGAGCACUUGAUUAUAUGCACUUUAUGUUGUGAUUUGCUCAUGUCAAUGUUGCUUACAUGUGCUGUUGUUGAAAUAAUCAAUUUAUUUUUGUUGGUUUGUAUGUUCGUAUGUACUAUUGUUAGAUGGAAUCUUAUAAUAACGAGUAACUUCCUAUUUUUUUGUAGAUGUUUCCUACACCGGAAUCUGAUCAUGAUGAGGAGUUGAAUGAGAAAGAUGAUGCAUUUAUAAUUCUAGAGGCAGAGCUUGCCUAUUCCAUGGGCUGAUGUAGCUUGUUAUCUUCUUACUCUGUGUCAAAGAUAAAUGUUGUUGCUUGUAUCUUCUUACUUUGUGUCAAAUAUAAAUGUUGUUGUUUCACUUGCUCAUUAUCUUCUUACUUUCUGUAUAAUAUAAAUGAUUAUGUAUGCAUGAAUCUUGUUGUUGGACCAUGAAUCAUGAAUCUUCUUACUUCAUGCCAUAUGAAUCUUGUUACCUUCUG
rnacentral:lncRNA from 1 species